AUUGAACGCUGGCGGCAGGCCUAACACAUGCAAGUCGAACGAGUGGCGGACGGGUGAGUAAUGUCUGGGCAACUGCCCGAUGGAGGGGGAUAACUACUGGAAACGGUAGCUAAUACCGCAUACCAUCGGAUGUGCCCAGAUGGGAUUAGCUAGUAGGUGGGGUAAAGGCUCACCUAGGCGACGAUCCCUACCUGGUCUGAGAGGAUGACCAGGCACACUGGAACUGUGACGCUGUCCAGACUCCUGCGGGUGGCAACAGUGGGGAAUAUGGCACUAUGGGCGCAAGCCUGAUGCAGCCAUGCCGCGUUUAUGAAGAAGGCCUUCGGGUUGUAGAGUACUUUCAGCGUGGAGGCGUUACCCGUGGAAGAAGCACCUGCUAACGCCGUGCCGGCAGCCGCGGUAAAAC
rnacentral:rRNA from 1 species